CCUACGGGAGGCAGCAGUGAGGAAUAUUGGUCAAUGGACGAGAGUCUGAACCAGCCAAGUAGCGUGAAGGAUGACUGCCCUAUGGGUUGUAAACUUCUUUUAUAUGGGAAUAAAAUGUUCCACGUGUGGGAUUUUGUAUGUACCAUAUGAAUAAGGAUCGGCUAACUCCGUGCCAGCAGCCGCGGUAAUACGGAGGAUCCGAGCGUUAUCCGGAUUUAUUGGGGUUAAAGGGAGCGUAGGUGGAUUGUUAAGUCAGUUGUGAAAGUUUGGGGCUCAACCGUAAAAUUGCAGUUGAAACUGGCAGUCUUGAGUACAGGAGAGGUGGGCGGAAUUCGUGGUGUAGCGGUGAAAUGCUUAGAUAUCACGAAGAACUCCGAUUGCGAAGGCAGUUCACUGGACUGCAACUGACACUGAGGCUCGAAAGUGUGGGUAUCAAACAGGAUUAGAUACCCUUGUAGUC
rnacentral:rRNA from 1 species